UGGGGGGGUGGGGUGACACCCCCCAAAGUACAAAUCAUCUGGAUUGGCAGGGCAAAUCAUCUGGAUUGGCAGGGCAAUGAAAGAUUUUAAAUGAUAGAAUGUAGAGUUAUUAGGUAGCUUCCAGGGCUUCCAGAGGGAAUUGAAUAGAAUUUAUAGACCUAAAUUUUACAGAUAUUGGAAAAAAAUAAGGGUUUCAUGUAUGUUGUAACAGGAAUUUGUCCGAAAAAA
rnacentral:lncRNA from 1 species